rnacentral:lncRNA from 1 species
AACCCCUUCCACAUGCAGGCCAGAAACGUGCUUAAAGCUGAGAGAGAGGGAGGAAAGCAGAUUUAUGGAGCCUCUGCUGCGUGCUUGGCACCAGGCAGCACCCACAUCCGAGUCUCGCUUUCUCUGGAGUAGCUACUGUGGCCUCGUCCAUCAGCUGCCGUGACCAGGAAACCCCAGCUCCCGGGGUUUCUCGUCCGAGCCCCAGAGCUCUGCAGUGUCCCCGCACACGCUCACUGGGAAACCAGGACUCCCUCUGCCUUCAUCUCCAGCUUCCGCGGAGUCCCCGGAGUCCCCGCCAUCCAGCUGCUGGAGUUGAGAGAGACUCACGGAGGACGCGGUGUCUGCAGGAUGACCCUGGAAGAAAGGGCCUUCCCCGUGUGGGCACCUGCUCCCGUGAGGGGACCCCCAUGUUCAGUGAUCGGCCAUCUGGCUUUGCACGAAGUUAAUGCACUCGUACCCCCAUUUUACAGGUGAAGAAACCAGAAGGCCCCAGACCAGCCACUUCACCCCAGAGCAUGUGGCUGAGGCAGGAGAGGGGCUUGGGCCCAGGCUCUGCUCUUCUGAGGUCCCUGUGGGCCUCUGUGUGAGGGGCCCCAGCCAUCCAGGGAGUUUUGUUCUGACUUUGCAGAAGCCCCCACCGUGAAGAAGGAGGCUGCUUCUCUUUGCAGGAGUGAGAUGGCCCGCUCAGCACUCAUGUCACCCGUGUCACACGGGGCCCAGCAAGGGUUACACCUGGAGCAGGGAAGCAAAGACCUUCCCAGAACUCGUGUCCUGUGGUGCGAACUCCCGGCCCUCCUCUGCUGAGCAGGCUCGCUGCUGGUGCUCCGAACACCUCACCAGCAUCAAAAGUUCGCUUCCCACAAUGGACUCAUCUUUUAAAAAAUUUAAAGACCACAGCCUCAUUUGUUUUUCCUUUUUAAAUGUUACGGGGAAAGAUGAUUUAUUUCAUGGGUCUUAGAUAUGAAUGAUGGAGAGAGUGGUUUCAAUUUCAUUAUUGCAGUUGUCAUAUUUCAGAACUUCCUAAAUAUAGCUUUAUUUAAAAAAAAAAAAAAGCCUGCAGCCUUACAUCAAGAUAAAAAGGUUUCUGUCAAAAUCAAAUGACAUGUCAAUUUUAAUGAGCAACUGAAAAAUUAACAAAUGUAACGCUCUAAUCUAAUUAUGUUCUUCCGGAAAGCUCUUUGAAAAUUGACUCAAGUGUGAUUGUCAAGUGCUGUGCCCCCAGAGCAGCAGCGACAGCGAGCAGGAGACCAGGGAGGGGCUCCUGGAGGCUUGGAGGGGCUCCUUGCCCAUCGUGGCACUUCCCAGGCUUUGGGAUUGAUGGCCAACAUUCUCAGACUUUUCAUAAACCACAGCCCACAGGCGAGGGAACUGAGGGUGCAGCCCUCUGCGUCUUCACAGGGGCCGCAGCCACGGAGCCGCACUCCAGACGCCCUCCCGCCACUUUGAUAAGAACUGCUUGUGAAAGCAUGGGGUCUGUGUCCCCACCCGCACAUGGAUUGUGUACCUGGUAUCCCAGACACGGCACGCAGUGAACCUCUGCAACCUGGUAAGUGUUGGUGUAAGUGCACCGGCCUCCCAAUCCAGGUAAUAAACACAUCUGUCACCAAAAUCGUCUGUGCCCCUGUGCUGUGCUUUUUUCUUGUUCGUGGUAGGAGCAUGUAGUGGGAGCUCUAUCUGCUUCGCAGCUUUUGAAGCACCUGCUGCCUUAUCAUUAACUACGUGCAGCUGGGCUACAGAGCCGCUUCAGGAACCCUCUCCGCUUAGGUACUCGAAACGUGUCCUCUGUUCCAACCCCCACCCUGUACCCCUGUGCACCUGUAGCCCCGACCCACCUCUGACUGCUGUGGGGGCCUCAUGGGAGAGGGGUUGGGCUUUUCAAGCAGGGAUCUGGGCUGACCUUCCCAGAGGACAAGCAGAAUGUGUCACCCGCGAGGGACGAGAGCCGGUGGCAUCUGCACGUCUCCUCUCCUGUCCUCCUGUCCCCUGUCCCUCAUGCUCUGUAUGUUUCUGUGACAGAAUAGAGGAAGUGUCCUGCCCAGUGUCUCCAGUGAGUGGGAGCCUCUGCCCUUCCUGAGGCAUUCUGUCCCCUUACUGGUCACCUGAGCACCACGCAUCCCAUCGUAGCCACAGGACGAGGCAGAAGAGCAGCCCUUAAGCAGAGCUGGCCCCCUGGCCUCGGCUUGCUUUUGCCCUUGUGUCCUGGCCCCCCUGGCCCUUUGGGUGUGGAGAGAGGGGCAUCUGACUUGGUGCGUCAUGCAUGUCGGACCAUCUUUGGGGCGUUAUUCUGGGCUCUAGAGAUAGGAGGAGAGGCUGGAGUGGUCCCUUGGCUUAAGGGUUAUACGGAUUGGCAGGGGAGCGAGCGGGGCAUGUCCAGAAAAGGGGAGGGCAGGAGAUGCUACACAGCCAACGUGGGAGAGAGGAGAAGACCAGAACGCCAGGAGUGGAGGGAUGGAAGACAGGGUAUUUAGACCAUCUAGAAAUUACCUAAAAACAAAGCCAGAAGCAUCAUCAGGGCAUAGGGAGGAGGCCAGUGCAAGUCUGCUCGUCCUUGUCUCCCGGGUCUUAGGGAGGGAAGCCGUAUGGAGCGUGCCUUUUGUUGUGUUGUGUUUAGUUCUACAAGCAUGUGGCUUUGGCGCUUGGUUGUUAAAGAUUCGGCGUGGCCCACAUACUGGACGUGCUAGUGCCGGGCGUCAGACUUCCAGCAGGGCCCACGUCGCACAUUGUGCUCCUAACGGAGACUUCGUCCUGCCGGCUUUGGCGCUCACAGCCUGGGAAGGAGUGGCCCUCUUCUGGGUGAGACCUUGAUGUUUGGUGCCUGAGACCCAGAGCCACGCUUGUCACCUUCUCUUGACACCCUUUCUGAUUGCAUGAACGUCGGAAUUCUGGAGAUGUGGGAUAUCAGGAAGAUAAAUUUACGUAGACAUGUACCGUGAUUCUCGUUCCUCGUGUGUUUCCCGUCGCAUCAUUUACAUGUGCUUUAAAUAUCCAAUGAACCGUAAUAAAUGAGAACUCGCAGUAAAAGUGGUAAUAAAAUGGAUUAUUCAGGUAAUGCUGCUUUAUUGCAGUCUCAUUAUGAUUAUAUAAUCCUUAUUAAAAUCUGGAUCAAAGAUGAAUUUCUCGCUGGAGGCGCCUCACAAGUACUUUAAUAAAUUCUAUUUAUUGCACAAUCCCAAGGUGGAUAUUGGUUUUUAUAAUUUCAUACAAAUGUGUUGUCAUAUGACAUGGAAUCCAUCUACAGAAAAUCUGUCACGUGAUUCCUGAGAAUUUGGAAACUUCUUUUGGAACUUCCUGUUCCUACUCUAGAUCCUUUAAUUAGAAGAAACGUUGCCAGGAUGGGACAUGCUCAUAGCAUGGUGUUUCAUCCUUAGCUGUCGGGCCCCUUUUCUUAGAAUCUCUUCCUGAUCCUAUCUGGGCUCUCCUGGGGUUGAUGGAGGCCGCCCAGGGCAGGUGGGGUCUGGCUGCGCGGACGCUGUUGGACUGGCAGAGGGACCCAAGGAUUUACUCACUGGAGCCAUACAGCUGGGAACCGGCAAAGCCACCCCAACCCUGGCACCUCCAGGUGAACCGGCCCAGAUCCUGAGCAAAGGCAGCAAGAACGAUCCAGGGAAAGGAGCAGAGCCCUCAGAGCGCGCAGGGCUGGGGAGAGGCCCCACUGGGCGUGUGGAACAUGCAGCCUAGCCGGGCUGCUCGGUGCAGGAGGCAGGCCCAGGGGCGAGGCCCUGCUGGAGCUGUGGAGGGCUGCUUUCUGCCUGACCCCACAGGCAGAGACAGCAUCACAAGCGUCUUCCAGCCUUUUCCGUGUUGGAUCCACAGAGGGGGUGCCGCGUACGCGUUUGAAAGAUGACAUCUGUGUCAUCAGGACGUUAAUAUUCACUCUUAGAGUUCACGUCUGGGGUCAAGCGAGAGGUCGGCUGAAGGGUUUUUGUCACUGGAAUCACUGCCCACAGCUGCUCUCAGAGGAGGGAGACCCUGGGCCCAGCCUGCUGUGUCCGAGGCCCAGCUCCAGACCUCCCCAGCUACGCGGCCUGCUCUUGCUCAGCUUCCCCAUCUGUAAAAUGGGUGUAGCCAAAAAGGACCUACGGCAGUGUCGUCACAGAGACUUCAUGAAGGAACAGGACUGCCAGAGGGCCUGGCACAUAAUGAUGUGUGUUGUAAAAAUGUUUCCUAAAUUUAUUUCAGUGAAUAGAUGUUUCUGGACGGGGAUCAUAGGCCUUUGGGGUGGGCUGUGGAGGGCAGGGGUCCAUCUCAUCCUCAAGAAGACGAGACCCUCCUGGUUCUCCCAGAAGGCCUGUGGGUCCCGAGGGCGGACAGUGGCGGCGUCCUGGGGACGGAGGGGUCUGAGAUGAGGUGGGGAUUUGAGCCUUGCUCCGCGUGCAAAGCCCGGGUCACGCUGCCCAGGCGCAGACUGGAGAGGGAUGUGGACACGUGUUUCCGCCAGCGUCAGUCAGGCGGGGAAGCCCAGUCUGGGAGGCCGGAUGCUGGUACAGCUGCUUCUUGGUAAAGCGAGGGUCAUCCAGGACUUUAAAGUUUGUUCUUAUCGUCUGCGCUGCUCCAGUGCGGCGGCUUGGGGAGAUUUGGGCCCCUGGCUGGGGAUUUGCAGCUGGAAGAGUCAUCAGGCGGCCUCCCCGAAGUGACGCCUGCGGCUGGCCUUGCAACUUUCUGCCACCCUAGGCAGAGAUGCUGAUAAAAACAGCGCCAGCAAAACCCAAACAAGCCCCUGGGCUCCACUUCCAUGACUUUGGAAAAUGCCCGAGCCCGCUCUGACCACUCAGGGAGCAGAGACCCCAGGUGGUGCCACAGGGGCCGAUUAUGUAAGCCCCCAGGUGGGGGGUGGGCUUCCUCCUGCAUCCCCCACCUCCAGGCGGGAUGGCGCCCCAAUGAAAUCUCUGUUCUCACCAGGUGUCCACACCUAAGGGCAGUGCACACACAGUGUGGCGGUAGGCCCUGCGCUCGGCAAGAUAUCAAAACGGGGGCCAGAUACUAACACGGGCCUUCAGCUCAGACCUCCCACCCUCACGUCUGAUGCAGCUCAUCUGGCGAAAGCCUGCAGAUCCAGAUCAACAGGAAGAAGACCACUCCGCAGAAGUGGAACGGAAGUGGGCAGGAGACAUGAGUGGGAAACACGGAAGAGGUCGAGACGCUUCGCGCGUCUCACAGUCGCUU